AAUCCUUGAAAAAGAAGAUCAAGAAACUUCGAAGAAGCUUUCUUGAUGGAGGGGAGCGGCAGACGGGUGAGUAACGCGUGGGAAUCUACCGUACCCUACGGAAUAGCUCUGGGAAACUGGAGGUAAUACCGUAUGCGCCCUAACGGGGAAAGAUUUAUCGGGGUAUGAUGAGCCCGCGUUGGAUUAGCCAGUUGGUGGGGUAAAGGCCUACCAAGGCGACGAUCCAUAGCUGGUCUGAGAGGAUGAUCAGCCACAUUGGGACUGAGACACGGCCCAAACUCCUACGGGAGGCAGCAGUGGGGAAUAUUGGACAAUGGGCGCAAGCCUGAUCCAGCCAUGCCGCGUGAGUGAUGGAGGUCUUAGGAUUGUAAAGCUCUUUCACCGAUGAAGAUAAUGACGGUAGCCGGAGGAAUAAGCCCCGGCUAACUUCGUGCCAGCAGCCGCGGUAA
rnacentral:rRNA from 1 species